ensembl:lncRNA
CCUGAUGAAGUCUCGCUCAGCGCUGUCCAAUCAGAUCGUGGAGCUACUACCGCAGCGUGAACAGGGGAGGACGCACCUAUUCCAGUUGCACAAUGCUGAGAAAGGACAGGCGAAAAACUGGACCACCAACGGGAAAUUGGCAAUCCGGGGGAGGCUGUCAAUGGGCUGCCAUGGUUCGACAAUACACAAACAGCGGGGGUUGUGGAUACAGGGGCUGCCAGGGCUCAAAGCGAGCGAGCGAUCCGCGUCGGCGUCCAACCAUGGGAGAGAGCUGUCGGCAAGGUGGCCCAGCUGGCAGUGCCCAGGGCUCCCAGGGGCCCGAGAGCGGCCUGACGUGGAGAGUCAAGGGGGCUGAAGGAUGACAGGGGACAGCUGGAGAAGAGGAAGACUCUAAGGACCAAAGUUGACGGCGAGAGAGCCAUGGAUCAGGAGUACGGUUCAGCGUCUUCUUUUCCGUCUGUACGAUCACGAAAAACCCUUUGGGACUCCCUGCAAGUUUGUUUUUGUUUUUUGUUUUGAGCUUCUUAUACAUCUCAUGUAAUGUCUAAAUAUCCAUGUCUACAGUAAUUUGUAAUAUUGAGUCCACAGUACUCACCGGUGCAGGAACCUUUUCCUUUUCAAUUAGUGCGAGCGGUCUAGUCAAUGACGCUUCCUAUGUCUUGUCCUCAUGCCGGUGGUUGCUGACUGACCGCGGGCCUGUCGGGCUUACUUCAGCGAUCCCUUUUACAUGUGCAUCCCUGCAAAUUAGGUUUUGAGGGUCUGGCAGGGGCCGGUGUAUGCAUGGAUAGAGGGCGGACUAGAGGACUGUGAGAGAGCUGUGGUCUGGCCGACCUGUCGCUGUUUCGGCUGCUUUCACUCCUGAGAUUAUCCAACAAGAUGGAUGCCAGUUGGCAUAUGAUGCAAUGUUUAAUUUUUCUGGUUUGAAUCAAAAUCCCCACUCGAUGGAUUCACAUAGUUUAAAGGCAUAUUUAGGGAAGGGUUCACGCACAGUCUAUGAUAUCAGUGAUCAUGAAAGGCUCACAGAUGGGUGUAUGGUAUCGUUGUGCAGGAGAUAAAGAUGGUGGCUGUGUGGUGCUUUCCACACAGUCCUCAUGUAGCAAAUGUGUGUGUCAGGCAUCAUCUGCUGUAGAUUAUUGUAGUAUUGGAAUGUCUCUCUGUUGAACCGGCCCCCACCAUUCUGACACCAUAUGUUACCCUUCUGAUAACUGUGAUGUAGUCUGUUUAUGACCUACCAUAUCUUUCAAUAACUCUUUUUGUUUUGUGAAGCCUUUUUUUUUCGUGGUUGGAACAACCCAUAGAUCAGUUUUUUAAAGAUCUACCUCCAAAGGCAUAUAACAAGAAGCCCUGAGUUGCAUACAGCGGCCUUUUUUUUGCAACCAAAGGUGUCAUUAGAGGUUGGAGCUCAACAGAAUGCUGAAGACAAACCGUCUAACCAAUCACUACGUUAUGUGUAUUAAGUGCAUUAAGUUGUAAGACAACAACGUGCGAAGGACCUCUCAAUUGCACGGCGUACUCUAAAUGGAAGCAUAUGAGAAAAGCGCUGCGUGGAAUUAGACUAGGAGAAGUAGGAUCAUUUUCUUCUGUACAAUAAGCCCCAUGCUGGCCAUUAGAAAGAAUGCAAGUUAAGGAACUUCAUCCUAGGCUUCCGAACCUGAGGUUUCCUCCUGCUUGUAGUAAGAUGAGCGCCACACAAAUAAUCCCGGUUUAUGCUCUGCUUGAUAUCAGUGUAUGUAAUAUCAGUGUAUAUAAUAUAAAACUCAAAAACGUCCUGUCUUCUUUCUCUCAUUUUUUAUUUAUUUCCCUCUUUACACUUCUGCCUCGCUCUUUCUCUCCCCCAUUCUUUCUACCUACACCCUAAAGCUAACCAACCUAAACCCUUCUUUUUGGCUCACCGGCUGGAAAUGCAGUUCUCAUUCCUAGAAUGCACACAGAAAUGUUCAACAAUCUGGCAUCAGCACUUCUUAAAAAGGCUUGCUGCCACCGCUGCUCCUUCAGCACAGCCAAUCCCCCCCCCCACCCCCCACAAAAAGAAAGUCCUGGACAGAGAAAGAAUGAUGAGAGUGGAAAGAACUAAAUCUGCUAAGUCCCCCAAACCCAGGAAUGUAUUUUCAUUAAAACAAGUUUGUUUGAAGGGAUUGGGAAGGUCGAUCAGACCCAAUAGCUCAACGUCUGUACUGGACUAAACGCAUUUGAGAAGCAGAGAAUGAGGAUACAUUACAUUACAUUAAUCUG